rnacentral:tRNA from 1 species
CUCGGUCGGCAGAGCGUUGGAUUGCAGAUCCAAAGGUCGCGAGCUCAAAUU